AUUUUGGACAAUGGGGGAAACCCUGAUCCAGCCAUCUCGCGUGUAUGAUGAAGGCCUNNNGGUUGNACAGUACUGUUGGCAGANAAGNAAAGGUAUCCCCUAAUACGGGAUAAUGCUGAUGGUAUCUGCAGAUUAAGCACCGCCAAAAUACGUGGCUGCAGCCGCGGUAAUACGUAGGGUGCAAGCGUUAAUCGGAAUUAUUGGGCGUAAAGCAUGUGUAGGCGGUUCGGAAAGAAAGAUGUGAAAUCCCAGGGCUCAACCUUGGAACUGCAUUUUUAACUGCCGAGCUAGAGUAUGUCAGAGGGGGGUAGAAUUCCACGUGUAGCAGUGAAAUGCGUAGAUAUGUGGAGGAAUACCGAUGGCGAAGGCAGCCCCCUGGGAUAAUACUGACGCUCAGACACGAAAGCGUGGGGAGCAAACAGG
rnacentral:rRNA from 1 species